GACGAACGCUGGCGGCGUGCUUAACACAUGCCAGUCGAACGGAAAGGCCCUGCUUUUGUGGGGUGCUCGAGUGGCGAACGGGUGAGUAACACGUGAGUAACCUGCCCUUGACUUUGGGAUAACUUCAGGAAACUGGGGCUAAUACCGGAUAGGAGCUCCUGCUGCAUGGUGGGGGUUGGAAAGUUUCGGCGGUUGGGGAUGGACUCGCGGCUUAUCAGCUUGUUGGUGGGGUAGUGGCUUACCAAGGCUUUGACGGGUAGCCGGCCUGAGAGGGUGACCGGCAACAGGGGGGCUGGGUGAGGGCGAAGGCAGGGGGGAGGGGAGGGGGGGGGGGAUAUGGAGCAGGGGGGGGGGGCGGGAGGCAGCAGGGGGGGGGGGGGGAGGAGGGCGGUGGGUGUGUAACCCGUGUUGGACGGGGAGGAGGCGGGGGGGAUGGAAGGGGGAAAAGGAGCACAGGCAAACGACGUGGCAGCGGCGGGGGGAAUAGGGGGAAGAGCAAAGGGAGAACC
rnacentral:rRNA from 1 species